CUCCCAAACCCCUGUGAACAUACCUAUACGUUGCCUCGGCGGAUCAGCCCGCGCCCCGUAAAACGGGACGGCCCGCCCGAGGACCCUAAACUCUGUUUUUAGUGGAACUUCUGAGUAAAACAAACAAAUAAAUCAAAACUUUCAACAACGGAUCUCUUGGUUCUGGCAUCGAUGAAGAACGCAGCAAAAUGCGAUAAGUAAUGUGAAUUGCAGAAUUCAGUGAAUCAUCGAAUCUUUGAACGCACAUUGCGCCCGCCAGUAUUCUGGCGGGCAUGCCUGUUCGAGCGUCAUUUCAACCCUCAAGCUCAGCUUGGUGUUGGGACUCGCGGUAACCCGCGUUCCCCAAAUCGAUUGGCGGUCACGUCGAGCUUCCAUAGCGUAGUAAUCAUACACCUCGUUACUGGUAAUCGUCGCGGCCACGCCGUAAAACCCCAACUUCUGAAUGUUGACCUCGGAUCAGGUAGGAAUACCCGCUGAAC
rnacentral:rRNA from 1 species